rnacentral:rRNA from 1 species
UAAGACGAACCGUACGAACGUUAUUCGGAAUCACUGGGCUUAAAGGGUGCGUAGGCGGCGGCGCAAGUUGGGUGUGAAAUCCCUCGGCUCAACCGAGGAACUGCGCUCAAAACUGCGUCGCUUGAGGAAGAUAGAGGUGAGUGGAACUUAGGGUGGAGCGGUGAAAUGCGUUGAUAUCCUAAGGAACACCAGUGGCGAAAGCGACUCACUGGGUCUUCUCUGACGCUGAGGCACGAAAGCUAGGGUAGCGAACGGGAUUAGAUACCCCGGUAGUCCUAGCCGUAAACGAUGAGCACUGGAUUGAAGGGCCCUCCAUAGCCCUUCAGUCGUAGCGAAAGUGUUAAGUGCUCCGCCUGGGGAGUAUGGUCGCAAGGCUG